GGAAUGUGAGAUGCUGUGUCUCAUGAGAUUACACCAAAGAUAAGAAACAGAAAUAAAUAAAUGCUAGUGGUCUUCCAUGUUCCAAAGUAAAAUGGACUUUCUGUAUGAUCCAGCACAAAGACCAACCUAAUAUUGACCAGAAGCAAUGUUCAGGUGACUCCUAAUUCAGCUGCCAUUGCCAGUUCCCAAAUUCUGUUUCCUCCACAAUCUGCAUAAUUAGAUAAUGGAAGAAAUGACAGGAUCAUAGGAAACUAGGGCCCAAAGGGACUUCACAAGGUC